rnacentral:rRNA from 1 species
CCUACGGGUGGCAGCAGUGAGGAAUAUUGGUCAAUGGGCGCGAGCCUGAACCAGCCAAGUCGCGUGAGGGAAGACGGUCCUAUGGAUUGUAAACCUCUUUUGUCGGGGAGCAAAAGACGCCACGCGUGGCGUUCCGAGAGUACCCGAAGAAAAAGCAUCGGCUAACUCCGUGCCAGCAGCCGCGGUAAUACGGAGGAUGCGAGCGUUAUCCGGAUUUAUUGGGUUUAAAGGGUGCGCAGGCGGAAGAUUAAGUCAGCGGUAAAAUUGAGAGGCUCAACCUCUUCGAGCCGUUGAAACUGGUUGUCUUGAGUGAGUGAGAAGUAUGCGGAAUGCGUGGUGUAGCGGUGAAAUGCAGAGAUAUCACGCAGAACUCCGAUUGCGAAGGCAGCAUACCGGCGCUCAACUGACGCUCAUGCACGAAAGUGUGGGUAUCGAACAGGAUUAGAUACCCUGGUAGUC